CUUUCUACCGCUCGAUGAGGUUUUGUUGUACUUCUAAUUUAUCUUCUGCAAAAUAGUGAAGAUUAUUGCGAUGAAGAACGAAAUUGAAGAUGAAAAUCAUCGAUUAUAGAGUGGUUACUUGAUAAUCCCUCUGUAAGAUGAAUAUCUAUCUGAUUAGACUGCCGAAUCGUAGGACGCCCAAAUUUCAUUAGUUUUGGAUCGUCUUGAACCCUCGGCAACAUUUUUUUUCUUCCUGAUUUCACUGUUUUUGAUUUAGUGGAUUUGUUGAUCUUGUUUCGUCGGGAGUGGUUAGGCAGAAUCUGUUUUACUUAUCAGCAUUUUCUUCCUUAAAUUUCCUCAAAAUCUACUAUUAUAUGUAUAUCAAGAAUGCAGCAUUGAAACUUGUUUCUUCAAUAUGGAUCCUAAUGCAAACGUAGUUCUUCCAAAUUGAAACAUAAAAGUUCAUUAGUGGAGUGGAAAACUGGAAUUCUAUCUCUGUAAAUUUCUUCCCUCGCAGGUGGAAAUUAAGUAGUCCCAAUAUAGGAUUGGAUUGUCGGCCUUUCCCAUCCCUGCCCUGUGGACAUCGUAGUAUGCUACAAAUUAUGAACAAACACAUUUACUAAACGAGAUCGAGAGCCUUCAACGCACACGCACAAUUAGGUUAUACCAGCGGCGGAUUUGGUAGCAGCAUCGGGAACCACCACAAACCGAUUUGGGACCUUGUCAUUUGCUUUCGAAAUCUAUACUACAAUUCUCUGGAACUUGCGAAGCUUUAGUGAGCUUGGGCUUUCUUUAGUGAGAUUAUUUCAAAUCCACCAUGAUUUGUGUAGUUGGUUAAUUUCGGUCCAGCACA